CAGCACUGUCUUUGAACCCGACUGAUCCUCCCCAUGGUCUCUUGGGCCAAGCUACAGUGCAAGAAGAAAAAGCAGGCUUGUUCAUAACUGGGGCCUCCUGGCAUCUUCAUCCCAGCUGGCUCUUUUAAAAGCAAGUCACAUCG